AUGUUUGAAAUACCAGAACACUAUAGAAAAUAUUAUGUUUCUUAUAAAAAAAUAAAAAAAAACAUAAUAAAGAUGAGCAAAAAAUAUAAAAAGAAGUUAGAAAAAGAAUCAAUACAUAAUGCCGCUAAACAAAUUGACAAACAGGGCAUAAAAAUGUUGCCACCAUUUCUUUAUAAUGACAUCAUCAGUCACGAAAUAGAAAAAGUAAAUAAAUUCGGUGAAACAAAAUAUAAUGAAAUUAUAAAUAACUUGAUUAGUAUAUACAAAAUGUUAAAAAUGUUAGAUCUUACAAGUGCUGAAGUAAAAAACACUAAAUAUGGAGUAGGUACAGAUGUAAGAACAGAUUUAUUAGGAGAUAUGGAGACCCAGUUAGAUUUAAUGGGUUGUGAUAUUAUACAUUUUAAUUUUUAUAUUUAUAAAAAUAGUAAAAUAAUAAUGAAAUUAGGUUUUUUUUUUUGAUAAAAUAAUGAAUAUAUCAAUAAACCAAUGGAUGUUGUUAGGUUUAAUAAAACA
rnacentral:lncRNA from 1 species